rnacentral:rRNA from 1 species
UAGUCCACACCGUAAACGAUGCAUGCUCGGCGUCGGGGAACUCGACCUUUCCUCGGUGUCCAAGGUAACCCGUUAAGCAUGCCGCCUGUGUAGUACGAGCGCAAGCUUAAAACACAAAGGAAUAGACGGGGACCCACACAAGCGGUGGAACAUGGGGUUUAAUUCGUCAAUAAGCGAGUAACCUUACCCAGACUUGACAUCCUAAUCGCACUUUCUGGAGACAGAUUGGUCAGUUCGGCUGGAUUAGUGACAGGCGUUGCAUGGUUGCCGUCAGCUCGUGCCUUGAGGUGUUCGGUUAAGUCCGUUAACGAGCGCAACCCUCGUCGUAUGUUGUAUUUUCAUUACGAGACUGCCCGGUAUAACCGGGAGGAAGGUGAGGAUGACGUCAAAUCAGCAUGACCCUUAUGUCUGGGGG